rnacentral:rRNA from 1 species
UAUGUUCUUCGUGAACAUGGCGUACUGCUCAGUAACACGUGGAUAACCUGCCCUUGGGUCCGGCAUAACCCCGGGAAACUGGGGAUAAUUCCGGAUAACGCAUAUAUGCUGGAAUGCUUUAUGCGUCAAAUGGAUUCGUCUGCCCAAGGAUGGGUCUGCGGCCUAUCAGGUAGUAGUGGGUGUAAUGUACCUACUAGCCGACGACGGGUACGGGUUGUGAGAGCAAGAGCCCGGAGAUGGAUUCUGAGACAUGAAUCCAGGCCCUACGGGGCGCAGCAGGCGCGAAAACUUUACAAUGCGGGAAACCGUGAUAAGGGGACACCGAGUGCCAGCAUCAUAUGCUGGCUGUCCGGGUGUGUAAAAUACACCCGUUAGCAAGGGCCGGGCAAGACCGGUGCCAGCCGCCGCGGUAACACCGGCGGCCCGAGUGGUGAUCGUGAUUAUUGGGUCUAAAGGGUCCGUAGCCGGUUUGGUCAGUCCUCCGGGAAAUCUGACGGCUUAACCGUUAGGCUUUCGGAGGAUACUGCCAGGCUUGGAACCGGGAGAGGUAAGAGGUACUACAGGGGUAGGAGUGAAAUCUUGUAAUCCCUGUGGGACCACCUGUGGCGAAGGCGUCUUACCAGAACGGGUUCGACGGUGAGGGACGAAAGCUGGGGGCACGAA